UAUGAUGGAGGCAGAGGGGGAAAUAAUGAUAAUAGAAGCAGUGGUAGUAGAGGUGGUUCUUAUGGAAGUAGUCAAGGGGGAGAAGAUAGUGGGUAUGGUCAAGUUCCUCCUCCAGCACCCAAUUCUUAUGGUGGGAAUUAUCCACCUGCUCCUAAUACAUAUGGUGGGAAUGCAAAUUAUGGAAUGGACUCAGUCCCUCCACCUACGAGCUAUACUGGUGGACCUACAUCAUACCCUCCAUCUUAUGGUGGCCCUGUGGGUGGUUAUGCUGGUGAGGGUUUGAGUGAUGUGAGGACUGGUGGUCGUGGUGGACCUCCUGGUGGGUAUGGUUCUGGUGGUCCUCGAAAUCAGGGAGGUGGUUAUGGUGGUCCUCCUGUUGAAGCACCGGCUAAGAUCAAGCAGUGUGACGGCAACUGUGGGGAUUCUUGUGAUAACUCAAGAAUAUACAUAACAAAUUUGCCACCUGAUGUCACUAUUGAAGAAUUAAGAGACCUUUUUGGCGGCAUUGGACAAGUAAUGGCUGAAUCUUAUACUUUAAAUCCAUGUGCUGUCUAAUGGGAAUUAUGUCGUCUACUUCGUACCGGUGUUUCUGUUUUAUUUUCAGAUAUGGUAUUUUUGGUUUAUGAUAAUUAUCCUUUGAAACUUAUUUUGUUCUCUAGUUCCAUGUUUUCAUGGACUUGGGGGUGUUUUAUGUACGUGGUUCUAUUGACAAAUUCUUUUUUUAUUUUGCAUGAAUAUUUUUUUAUCCUCACUGGUGUUUCUAACAAUUCACAUCUUGUUUAGGUUGGAAGAAUUAAGCAGAAGCGUGGCUAUAAAGAUCAAUGGCCGUGGAAUAUUAAAAUAUACACAGAUGAUAAAGGAAACCAGAAAGGUGAUGCAGUUUUGUCUUACGAAGAUCCUCAGGCUGCCCACUCUGCUGGCGGUUUCUUUAACAGUAAGUACCUACAAACUUCUUAGUUUAGUUUGUUGCCUUAAAUAUUUUACCUCAUCCUUGUGGAAUCUUCUCUCAGAUCAUGUCAUGAGAGGCUAUACGAUCGGCGUGGCUAUGGCAGAGAAGACUGCGCUCAAAGUACAUGAUCAUGGGUAUCAUUUUAACCUUUGACUACCUAACUAUAACCUUUUCAUUUAGAUGCCUUUUCUUAUCUCGAAGUGAUUGAGAUGUCCCAUUGAGGUUUUCUUUGGAUUGAGUUCAUCUAUAUUGCAAUUAGAUGCUUUGUUUUUCCAUGUUAUUUAUGAAAAUAUGACGCGUAUAAAGCAUUUUUUUCUGUCUAUAUUUUAUAUUGCCAUGUCGGAUUCCUGCUUUUAAGGUUUUACUUGCUUUCAUUUCCUUUUGAAACCAAAUAUUCAAAUGAGCACCUUUGGUUAUCAUUGACAGCCUAUGUCUUACUGCUCAUCUUGUGUAUGGUUUGCUUAUGGUAAUACUUGGUCACUCCUUUUGUUUGUCACUGUGGAAGUAAACAGCAAAAAUGAUUGCCUAAAAUAUCUCACUUGUGUUUAUACCAAGUAAACUUGUUCUUUUCCUAAAUAAAUUCUUUUUUUUUUUUAAAUUUGACAGAGGUGGUAAAGGUGGCUACGGAGGUGGUGGCGACAGGCGCAGGGAUAGUUACAGAGAUGGUGGUUCUGGGCCAGAUAGGCAUCACCAUGGCGGAAAUCGUUCGCGCCCAUACUGAGAGGCUCUCAGCUUCAAGUAUUUUAUGCACUAGGAAUGUGGUCUAAGGGUUCUAGUUGUGUUGCAUUGACGGCAUUGUUCUUGAACAGGAGACUAAGAGGUAGGUUGUUCACUUGUCUGGGCAAUACCCCUUUUUUCUCCUUUUCCUCCUUUGUCUACUGUUUGCUGGGGGUUCUUUCUUUCUAGUUGUCGCAUUGAUUGAAUUUGUGUCAAUCUUUUAUAGAGGCAAGUGGAUUAACUCCAAAUUGCUUGCUGCUAAGGUAGGUUGAUAAUUUCAGGUGAGUGCGGCUCUUUCAAAUCACACAUUUACCCUUUUUGUUUGGUAGUUAGCCCUUGAUGGUGGACUUGAUUUUGUUUCCUGUCUGCUCAUCAUGGUGGAACAAGCUUGUUAUUUAUAUGCAUGCAUGGGUAUCUCUUAUAUUAAGUCUUUAUGCCUUAAUGUUGUCAAAUUAGCUUGGUUUGGGCUUGAAAUUUGUCAUGUUGCCAGUGUUGUCAAGGUGUGCGCCAUGUGCCUUAUCAUUAUCCAACAAAAAACGCCUCAAGACACUUCCAGGCUAGGUCCAUUUGAUCAGGUGCAUGCCUGAUGCGCCUAGCCAUGCCUUCUUGUAGGGCUAUAGGCAUAAUUUUCUGAUUUUUCAUUUUAUAUAUCUCUAAUAGUAAGAAAUUUAUCCAUCUCAAACUCAAUACUUGAGCAUUCAACAUCAUGGACCAUAAAGGAAUAAUGCAUAUUGACUAAUAAAGAAAUUGCAUGUUUCAUGGAUAAACUAGACCGCACUUUAGAGACUGUAGAUCCUAAGCUUUAUUAUGCAGACACACAUGACUUCCAAAAACUCAUACACUUUCAUGAGGGUUGUGCUUUGUGCCAAAGGCAAUACAAGGGUUCUAGCACCUAGAGUGCAUCUUUUGCCCUAAUUAAAAACGAGUUAAUGGCUUUGUACAUAGUUGAUUUGCUAAAUAAGAAGUUGGGAAUGAUGAGUGGUUGAAACGGCAUUGGAUGAUUGAAUAUACGCUUGGUGGUGGCAGCUGUGGUAUUGGUGAAGUAUUUGAAAUGCAGAACAAUGGCUGGAGGGUUGUGCCAUGCCUUCAUGAUCUGGUUUUGUUGUAGCUUUGAGCUUGGGAUAUGGCAGCAACUUGUGAUGCUGCAUGUUGUUGUUUGAUAGUUUUAGUACAGAUGGUGGUCGUCAAGGAUAUUCUCAAGUGUUCUGUCUAGAAUAUCUUAAAUCUUUAUGCAUUUAGCUCCACUGUUUAUUUUGUUGAGGCACAAUGUUCCAAAUUUAUCAAUGGGAUUGCUGCUGCUUUUUAAAUAAUGGAGACACAGGUACUUCAAAUGAACUAAUUGAAUAAUUCGACUGAUUAUUUGAUUUAUCUUUGUUUAAAUUUGUUUAAAUUAAAAUUUAAAUGUGAAGGUUGUGGAUGUAAUUUUGUACAUUAGUUCAGUAUAUUUAAUUGCAUUUAUUAAUUUUUUUUAAAAAUUGUUCUUAUCAAAUAAUAAAUUUAUUUAUCAAGUUAUGUUCAAAAUUUUAUGUACUAAAAUUAUAUUAGAUUGUGUAAUAAAUAAAAAUCUAAAAUUUGAAAAGAAUUGAGAUUUAAAAUGAAUUAAAUUUACAAUCUGUGUAUAAUAUGAGUGAUUAAAUUUAACUAAACAGUGUUAAUAUGUUGGUCGGGAUUAAUUUUAAAAUCUGAUUUAUAAAUUAGAUGGACAUUAAUAAUAAUUGAAUUAGAGUAUAAAAAAUAAAUGUAAAAUAAAAGGAUUAACAGUAGAAUUUAACUUUUUGUGACUGUACGUGUUCACAAAUGGUAAAGAAUUCAUAAAUGAAUAAUUAUAUAAUAUAUGAUUGGUGUACAAUGAAUGGGCUUUCAACUAGAUUCAUAUUCUUCGGUAUUAUAAAUAUGCUACAAAUGUCUUCAAAUUUGGGUGAUUAAUUAGUAGGAUAAAGAAUUUAUAAAGUUGAUGUAGAAGAUGUUAGGUAAAGAGAUUAUCGUCUCGCUCCUGUACGUCAGAUUUACUCAGGUGGUCAUUUAUUUUUAUCGUUUAUUUAAAAAGUUUAUUAUUUUAGUCGUUUCUCUCACAUGAGUUGUUAAUUUUAGUUACUAGCCAUUAUGAGUCUACUGCAUAUAUAUACAUAUAUAUAUAUAGAUCUUAUCCAUCUAUUGAUUCAUUCAGUAAUUGAAUCGAACCCCUCUUUUAACUCAAAAUGUCAUGGUAAGGAAUAGGUCAUCGGUUCAGAUUUGAUGAGGAGUUUUUACCUCUUCUUUUUUUCCGUAAAACUCCUACAAUAUGGUAGUAUUCCUAUUGAAAGAUAGGGAUGUUGUUUUUAUUGGUAAUAAAAACUCAAUUUACUCUUAAAUACUUUUUGUCUAGUCAUUAGUUUGCUAUAAUGAUAAAUUUAACUCUUAAUACUUUGCAUAUUUUGUCAAUUUGAUCUUAAUUUAAAAAAAAGUAACAAUUUUUACCCACAACCUUGGCAUAAUUUUAAUCUAAAUUCUAAAAAAAUUGAAAAAUAAAAACACAAAAAUAUAAAACGUUUAAAGAUGUAAAUUAAAAUGCAUGAUUUUACUUUCAAAUUAAAGAAUAAGAUUUGAAUUAAUCUUUUAUAUCAUAGCCAAUCACACAAUUCUUUUUAUCAAAUUACUCAAGAAAAAUAAGUAAAAUUGAUAUUCGGCCUAAUCUUACUUACAGCAAAAUUUCUUCAGUGGAAAACCAUUCAUCCGUUACCUGCACUGCAACCACAUCCACAAAAUCCUCAAACAAAAAGAAAAUUCAAUACUAGAAUGAGAAGUAAAAGAAAACACGAACCCUAGGCCAAUUCCUACGAAAACCCGUAGUAAAAGUUCACCAUCGGAUUCCAAGCUCAAACUCCCGGUCGAGCUCACGAGUACAGUCCGUGGCGGCUUGAACGAUGGAGGAGAUUUGGCGGGAAAGGGAGUAUUGGUGGUCUAAUGGUUCGCCGUUUCUUUUUAGGUUGGGGGGUUUUGGAGUUAGUGCAAACCUUCUUGAAUAGAGCUUAGCUUUCUCCCACAUUGGGGUAGAGUAUCACAUCAAGGGGUACUCUUUGUUGCCUUUUUUAGGCAUGGUAUCUUGAGUUUGGUUAUUAAUGAAAUAACCAAAUUUUGCGAGCGGAAAAGUUCAAGGAUUGCAACAGGGAGAGCGUUUGUACUCAAGACGAGGUAAUGCUUGAAUCAUGGGGAAGGAAGGUGGCAAAUAGAGUUAAUAACAAAGAAUGGAAAGGGAUCAGAGUUACCUAGGUGUGAGACGCAACCUAGGAGCUCAAAGAGGAUGAUGAGGAGGCCCUAGAGGUAGCUUUGUGGAUUCUUCAAACUCUUUUGACUCAUUGAAGGGAAGAAACUCCAAAGUAAAUUGAGGAUAAAACGACACAGAUUAGUGUAGGUGAUGUCUAAGCGCUAGUGCUGCUGAAAGAGGGCCUUGAGGGGGUCCGCGAUAUCUUCAGGCUCUUUGAAUUCCUUUGACUCCUUGGUGGGAAGAUUGAUGAUUUCCAUAGUAUUUGAGGGAGACAGACCUUGAAAGUGUAGUAGAGGUGAGUGGGGCAUGCUUUACGGACUCCUCAAAGAGAAGGGAUUUAAACAUCUAGGCUGGAGGUUUGGAGGGAGAGAGAAAGUACAGGUGGUGAAGAGAACUUGCAAGAUAUGAGCUCGGAAGGCCUUGGGGUGUGGAGAGGCACUGCUUCUUCAAGGCAUGCAUUUUGCAAAUAAGGCUCACCAGGUAAUUCUUGAGUUGGUUCCCUUCCCUAUAAACACAAAUCCCUCCCUACUCCUCAAUUGGUUUUUAAGGUAUGAGAACUCAUUAAUUAUUCUAGUUCCUGCUUGUGCUUAUGAAAACAUUCCUUAUAUAGCUCCUGCUGUGUGUGCAGUUUGCUGGAGAUCUUGAUUCAGAAACAGUGUGCUUUUGAAGAGAUCAAGCAAUGCAUUCCAGGACACUUGGUAGGAUCCAAAGAAUUGUUGGCGGGAAUCUCAUCGGCCUGAGUCGCAUGGAUAGUUCAUAGAUUUCAUUUAUCAUCAGCACAAGUAGUUGUAGUUGUGGAAAUAACACAAGGUAGAGGUGAUGUGAAAUCAGAAUAUGUGACAUAUUUUAUCACUUUUUUUGAUGAAGUUGGGUUUAUAGGCAUAAUGCACUUAAAAGUUUUUGUAGUGGGGGUGUCAAGAGAGAAGUCUAAAUGUGUAUCAAGAAUGGUGACUUGUUAAUGAUUAUAUUAUGCCUCUGAGUUCCAUUUGCACUCAGCCAAUAUUUCAUAUGCAAUAAAAGUACUCUUGCAUCGACGAAAAAACAGUUUCAUAAGUACUAAGUAAUAUAUAAUAACAACACCAAUUUCUAUAAAUAUAAGAUAGGAGAACAAGAGUAUGAGUCUUGAAACUAAGAGACAUAGCACAUCGUUUUCUUAAUCAUAUUUCAUGGAUGGAUGUCAAACAUCACAUCAUCGACCAAACCACGUAACGUAGAGUGUGAAGAUCCAGCAUUCAUCAAGGCUUUCCUACUCUUUUCACUCAUCUCUUUUACCCUUUUCCUAACAUCACUGCCCUCUUCCAUCACGCUCCUUAUUCCUUUCUCUAUCGUUUUGGCACUCACGAUUUCAAUUUCACCGCUAUCCAUACCAUCUCUCUUAUAAUCCAUUUUAAUUUCCACUGCUAAUCCCAACUCCAUCACCAAUUCAAACGCAUUCAGUUGUUGUUCUGCGUAAACUGGCCACGCCGCUAUGGGAACUCCGAACCAUAUACUCUCCAGCGUCGAGUUCCACCCACAAUGCGAUACGAACCCUCCAGUCGCUGGGUGGCCCAAAAUCGCCACUUGCGGUGCCCAACCAAUGAUCUUACCUAUGCCACGCGUUCGAUCUAAGAACCCUUCUGGCAGAACCUCCGAUGCAUCAUCGUAGUCAGUUGGGCUUGCCCUCGGGCCCUUGGAUGGGUGUGGGGGUUGGCGUAAUGACCACAAGAACCGGUGCCCACUCUGCUCUAGCGCGAAAGCAAUCUCUUUCACUUGAUCCCCAUUGAAGCUGCCCCAGCUCCCGAAGCAGAGAAACACAACCGAUGACGGCGGUUGUUCAUCCAGCCAUUUCAUGAUAUCAGAACUCUGAUGGACCUCACUUUCACUCUCGAGAUUCAAUAAAGGUCCCACUGGAUAAACGGGUAGAGCACUAGCAUCAGAUAGGGAACUGAUUGCAUGGGAUUCGAGCUCCCAAAACGUGUUUAUCAUUAUACCCUUGGCCUUUCUUAGCCCUCUUGUCAAGGUAAUCACCAUAGGAAGAGAUUCAGGCUUGAGCAUAACAGAGGGAAAGAGAUUAGAUGACACAGGGUUGAGAUAGGAGGGUAUGGUGAACUCAGUGUCCGAGUCCUCUAACUCAAGGAUGUUAACAUUUUGCUCAUCGUGAAGGUCUAGUAUAUAAAAUUGAAAGCCGAGAAAAGCUGCACCCGAUGUGUAAAAAACAUAACUCGGAACACUCAACUCGUUACCCAAAUCAAUGAAAGGAGUUAAAAACAUGUCGAGAACAAACCCGGCGAGGCGAGGCGAGUCGAGCACAGAGGUGGAGUACUGAACUAUGUUGGUGGCAGCCUGUUUCACUAACGGUCCAUGGGUUUGCAAUAAAGUAGUGACAAAAUUGGAGGGAGAUUCAUCUUCGCGGGUUUCAGGUGGAGGGAGGUCGAUGAAUUUCAUGCGAGUGGCAGUGAGAGAGUGGACGUAGGCAGCGAGUUUUGCAUCGGGGUUUAGUUUUAUCAUGAGAACAGUAAUGGAGAGAUUGGGAUGGAGAUCAAGCAAAAGCUUAGCCAGUUGGACCAUAGAUACGAAAUGGCCCAUUAGAGGCAUUGGGAUGAAGACAAGCUCGGCUUUCAUGACCAUCUGGAACAGCACAGGAUAGGCAACAGAGACGACGAAGAAGGUAGAUAAGAUUGAAGAGUGGAGGCCACUAAAAGUUGAGUGAUGAUAGAUUGUACAAGUAGUACAAGUCCUAAAGGCGUGGAACUUCAUGUCGCUAAUACCACCCAAUCAAUUUAUUUUACCUUUUCACUAAAAAAGAAAAGAAAAAAAAAAAACCUUGGCACGAGAUAAUUAGUACUUGUCGGAUCUCUGUCCACUUUCAUACUAACGUCCUUUGGUCAAUAAUACCGCCCAUUAUACCCGUAUUUUUACGGGUAUUUUUAAAAAUAUACAUGAGUAUCGUUUGACACAACGAUAAUAUUAAAAAAUUAUUUUUUUAAAGUUUAAUAAUUGUGUGAUGAUUGAUUGAAAAAGGGGAGUGAUGCCGUCAAAGUAUCAUACAUCACCUUAGUUACGGUAGCAAAUAACUCAUUUUCGUAAAUAUUGUCCUCCAACCUAUUUUCAUAAUUAAUUAAUUUUUUAUUUAAUUUUUAUAAAAAAAAUGCCGAAGGGAUUGGACUAACGGAGGAUGCCACGACUGAGGAAGCGGGGGCUGACCUUAAAGCUUCAUCGAGUGCCAUGUUGUCAAUGGUAGAGCUAUAGAGUUCACCUAGGAUGUAUUUACUAUUGUUUUUCAAAAGUACUUUUGGAACCAUAAACGAGGCUAAACAAACUAUUUUUGAAGUAAAAAAUACUUUUAAACCUAAAAAAAAAAAACAUUCUUCUAACUUUUGCGCUUGAGAAGUGCUUUUGGUAGACCUGUCCAUGGGCCGAGUCAAGCCUUACCAAAAAAUUAUGCCCAUUUGCUAGGCCCAGGUCUAUCUUGACCUGAAAAAUGAGUUAAAAAUUUUGUCCAAGCCCGACCCGUAUAAAAUGUUAAAACCUGGACCCGGCCUGGUCGAAUUAAUUUUUUAUAUAAAAUUUUAAAAUAUAAUACAUAAAAAAUACUAAAAAUAUUAGAAUAAAUGUUUCCUAGCAAAUUGAAAAUAAAUUAAAAAAAUAUUUGUACUUAAAUAACACUAAGAUAUGUGUAACUUAACAAGCAAGUGACUCUAAAAUAGUAACAAAAUUAACAACAAAACAAGAGUUAUACAAUAUCAAAACAAUAACAAUAAAAUAAUAGUAACAUAAUAGUGAAAUAGUAGUAAAAUAGUGAGAAAACAGCAAGAAAAUAGCAACAAAACAGCAAAAAAUAACAUUUUUUUGUCUUUUUGCUAAUUCAGGUCGGGCAAGAAAAAAAAUCUUACUUGAGGCCUGGUCCAUUUUUUAAACAUGCCUUUUUUUGCCCAAACACAUUUUUUGGGCUUAUAUUUUUACUCAAACUCUCACGCUUUUCGGAAAGGCCUUUGGGUCAAAUAAUAUUUUUAAUCAUUAUUUAUAAUUCAAUGUAUUUUAUUAAAUAUUUAUAUUGGAUAAAAUUAUUUUUUAUUCAAAUUUAUUUUAAAUAUAUAAAUUAUAUAUUUAAAUUUGUAAUGAUUAAAAUAUAAUUUAUAUAUUCAAAUUGAAUUUACAAAUAAUUAAUAUUAAUUACUUUAAAAAUUUAAAAUUUGUAUUUCAUAUAUCAAAAUAUUAAUAAUGAGUUGCAAUAAAUUAUUUUUUACAUUUUAUUGAAAUAUUGUAAUAUAAUAAAUUCAAACCGUGUUUAAAAGCUUGUUUUGUAGUUUAUUAUAUCAUGUCUAAAAUAAACAUUUUAUUUUUGAAAAAUAUUCUUUGAUAGCAAUACUAAACACUUAAAUUUUAAACCGAAUUUUUUAAAAGCAACGCUAAACUAGCCUUUAAAAUUUCAGAUUUUUUUUCCUGGGUUUCCAUUUUUAUAUUUAUUAUAAUAGAAAAUUAUUUGAUGCACUAUUAGUGGAGUUUUUAGACUCCACAAGUAGGGCUAGACGGGUUGACAAAUUUCCUGUAAGGGUAUAGUAAAAUAUUAAAAAAAUCUUUUUAAAAAAAGAAACCCAUGACAAUUUUUUAUGUUUGUUUGUGGAAUAAAAAAAGUAUACUACUAAUGUAUUUUUAUAUGUUUUUUAAUUUAAAUUUUAUGUAUUUUUAUAAUAAAUUUUAAGUUUUUGAAGCUUUAUAUUUAUAUAUAUUAAUUUUAGAACCAGGAUUGAAUUGACAGAAUUUGCAAACGGUGUGGGUAAAAAUUGUUGAAUUUUUUAGAAUUAGGACCAAAUUAACAUAAUAUUCAAACUGUUAAGGGUUAAAUUUGUUAUUAUACCAUUCAAAAGACUGCCACGUAAGCAUUCCAUCUGGUGACCAUAUGUGUUUAACGACAGAGUGACUAAGAUUGACAAAUUAUCUAACUAGAGUGACUAAAAUGACAAAUUUUUAAAAUAUGUGACCAAAAUAAGAGCACUGAUAAACUCGGGUGACUAUCUAGAUAGUUUACCCAAAGAUAAAAUAUGACAUUUGUAUUCUUUAUAUAUUUGAAUUUAGUUCUCUUUUUUUUUUUUUACUUGAAAGGAAUUAAGUUUUAUUUUUAGAUUUAAAAAUAUAAGUACAAUUGUUAACGAUGAUAAAACACAAAAUUUUGUUGUUAUAUAAAUAUCAAAUAAAUAUUUUUCAUUUAAAAAUACGGUGAAAUUAAUAAAGGGUAAACACCACAUGUCAUACAAACAUGGGCCAUUUUCUUUUGUGGUCACCAAAUUAUGUUUUUUUAAAAAAAAUUUGAACACCCAAUUACGAAUUUGUUUCUUUUUGGUCAUCCAACUAUAAUUUUUUUUUAAAAAAUUUGGUCACUCAACUAAUUGAAAUUGUUUUUUUAUCCAUUUUCGUUAAUUGCACUAACGGGAGGGUGACAUGGUAAUUAAAAAAUUGAUAUAAUAACAAAUUUACCGUUCAACUUUUACAUAUUAUAUCAAUUUAGUCCUAAUUAAAAAAAAAUAACGCUCAAAAUUUACAAAUGAUCUCAAUUUUGAUUCUCAAAAUUUACCACCUUCCUUUUCUGCUUCCCCCACCGCCACUACCAUCAUGGCACGGUUUCACUACAAUUAUGUUGCAAAAGUUCGUCGUUCUCUAUAAAAUUGUCAUUAAGCUCAUUGUAACACCCCUAACCCCAGACCGUCGCCGGAACAGGGUUACGAGGUAUUACCGGACAUAUCAAACGAUUUACAAAUAAUUCUUAAAUAAAUAACCAACAUAUUAGAAUAAAUCAUAAAUUCAUAUGUUUGUUUACCAAUGGACUUCAUUUUUUUUAUAUAAAUUUCGGCAGCAUUUCAGCUUAUUUUUACAUAAAACCCCCUGCAAUUUAAAACCAUUUCAUUUUCAAAUAUAAUCAAAUCAACCAGUUCAUGUCACAUUCUCAUUUCCUAUUCUAAAUUCCUUCUAAUCAAACUCAAUCAACAUAAUAUCAAUUUAAAUUUAACAAUGUACUAAUUAAAUAAAAAUAGGUAAACUUCUUUCAUUAUAAUUCAUAAACUUCUAAUACUAACAUUUUUAACCAUUUAUAUUAAAACAUAAUAACCUUUAUAUACAUCCUAUGUACAUGCCACAUUACCAAAAGAAAAUAUACAUCACCAAAAUUAUGCUGAAGCCGGGAUUAAUCUGGAUGCUGAACCGGGACCUUUGACUUCUAUCGACCUGCGCACGGAAACAACCGUACGCUGAGUAUUUCAUACUCAGUGGUAUUACCAUAAAUCAAAUUAUAACAAUAAUAAACAUAUAAUGCAUAAAUCGUAUAUACAAAUUUAAAUUCAAAUUCCAUAUUUCAAUAAUAACAAAUCAUCAACUAAUAUCAUACAUCCACAAUUUAAAUUUGGAUAUAUCAUGAAUCUUAGGUUCAUUUCUCAAUCUCAUAUCACAUUGCAAUUCACAAUUCAACUUUUUCAUUUCACUUCAGUAGCUCGUUUGAUCAACUCGUUCGGUUUAUCAUUUCAUUAAUUACCCUAUUAACAAAACUCGGACUUUGGCGGAUACACGGAUCCAACCAAACACACCAGUAUGGCACCCAGUGCCUCAUCGGAUAGUUCGAAGCAAUAGUUGACACCCAGUGUCUCAUCGGCCAAGCCGAAGUAAGUUGGUACCCAGUACCUCAUCGAAUCUAUCCGAAGAAAUAUAGUGACACCCAGUGUCUCAUCGACUCGAGGUCGAAGUAUCUCUAAACUCUUCCAAUCCUAUGGCAUGCCAACUAUAUCCGACUCAACCCGACUAGUUAAUAGGGUAUUUAAAUCACAUUAAUAUAAUCUCAAUUCAAUCACAAUUUCUCACAUUUUCAAUUCAAUCAUUUUUCCACCUUUCAAUCAAUAAUUAAUCCACAAAUUCACACAUUUUCACAACUCGAAACACUUCCAUACAAUUUAAUACCAUUCACAAUUCGAUUCAAAUUCAUUUCCCACUUUCAAUCAACAAACAAUUCAAGUAUUAAUUCAUAUCAACUAUUCAAUUUAAUUCCCACUCAUAAUAAUAAUAAUACUUACCUCGUAUUUUAUUUACCAAACACAUAAAUUAAAAUUUAACAUUUAAUAAUAAAUAACUUGAAUUAUAGUAAUACAAACCGUAAAUCUCCCGUUUUAGUCCUCGAUAGCUUUCUCCUUGCCUUUUGAUGCUGAUGCCUCGGGUUCUUUGUUAGCUACGAAAAUAAUAAUAAUCUAUACUAUUAAUUACAACACUAAUUAUGAUAAAUAAUUGAAUUUCUAUUCAAUUUCUUCCUUAUUCUCAAUUUAAUCCUAACUAAAUUCACUUACUUUCCUAAUUCAAUUCACACUCAAUUUCUAUUCAAAUUUCAUCCAAACUCAAAUUUAACUAUCAAAAUUUCAGCAUAUUUUCCUAAUUUCGAAUUUCCCUCAAUUCAGUCCCUAAAACAUAAAACUUAUAGUUUCUUUUACAAUUUAAUCCAUUUAUUAAUUCUAACUUAAAAUCCAUUCAAUUAAACCCCUAAUUCAACAAUUUAUUCAACAUAAACUAUACUUGAAAACCUAUGAACUUACAAAAUAUCAACUUGAUUCCAUCAAAACCUUGUUUUAAAACUUCUAAAACAUUAAAAUUAAGAAAAAAGAGCUAUAUUGACUUACCAAAUUAAAUUCCAAGCUUUAGAAACCCUAUUUUCCCUUUUUCUUCUUUCUCUGUUCUGUUUUCGAAUGCUAUUCUGUUUCUUUUCUGUUUUGUUUCUUUCUUUUACUUUAUUUUAUUUUACGUUUUGUUUUUUAUUUAACUACUAUAAUAUUAUAAUAAUGUAAUAUAAUAAUAAUAAUUUCUUAAACAAUAACAAUUAUAUAUAUUUUACAAGUGUAUGCAUGUACUUUUUACACAUAUAUAUUAUCAUCACCAUACAAUUGUCAUUUGUCAAAAUAUUUAUUUAUUUUAUAUAAUAAUAUAAUAUAAUAUAAUAAAUAUAUUAUUUACUUAUUUAUUAAGAAUAUAUAUAUAUAUAUAUAUAAUAUACAUAUUUUAACUAAUAAAACAUCCUUGAUAUUUUACACUUAAACCGCCUCAAUCUUUGCAAUUACUUUAUUUGCCUUUUUAGUCCUUUUAACUUUUCUUUAAUCUAUAAUUAAACUUCUACCUCUAUUGCAAUUUAAUCCUUUUUGCUAAUUACUCCUAAUUAAACUAAAUUCACCUAUCUAAAACCUAAUUAAACACACCACUAGUCUAGUAAAUAUUUCUAAUAAUUAUUGUCGAACUCAAUUUACUAAGACGGAGGCCCGAUAUUGUACUUUUCCGAUGUCCGUGAAUUUUGGGUCAUUACACUCAUGGUAAACAAGGUUAAGGUGGUUAUGCCAAGAUUGAUUGGUCCUAAUCAAGUUAGCUUUGUUCCUGGGAGAACCAUCACUAAUAAUAUCAUUAUUGCCCAUGAAAUGAUCCACUCGAUGAGAACUCAUAAAGGUAAUGAUCGUCAGAUGGCUAUUAAAUUUGACUUGGAGAAAGCCUGUGACAUACUUAGAUGGGAUUUUUUGGAGGAUUCUCUCUUUGAUGUUGGUAUUUCAAUUGAUAUGGUGCGAACUAUUAUCAAUAUGCAGAUCUUGUGGAAUGGGUGCUUAACUGAUGAAUUUACUUCGUCGCCUGACAUUCGACAAGAGGACCCCAUCUCACCAUGUCUCUUUGUUUUUGGUAUGGAACAAUUAGGCUAGAGCAUUUAUAACUCAGUGGAAUGUAAUUAAUGAUAUCCGAUUAAAUUUGCAAGGAAUAGUCUCUCCCUUUCUCAUCUCUUUUUCUCUGACGAUCUUGUUCUUUUUUGUAAAGCAUAUUUAGACCAAGCUCAAGUGGUGAACAAUAUUCUGAAAUAAUUUUGCCAGUCUUUAGGCCGUAAAGUGAGUUAUUCUAAAACUAAUAUAUAUUUCUCAGUUAAUGUGAAGGAGGAAAAAGUUGACCUAUUUGUAGUGUUCUUAAUUUCAAUCGAGUUGAUGACAUGGGCACGUAUUUAGUGGCUCAUUUAUGCCACAAAAGAGUUAACCAAAAGCAUUUUUCAGUUUAUUAUUGUAAAGGUUCGCAAUAGAUUGAGCGGUUGGAAUGCAAGCCUACUUUCGGUGGCAGGGAGAGUGACCUUUGCUAAAUCAGUCCUUUUAGCAAUACUUAAAAUAUUUUAUAAUUACGUCCAAGAAUUAAUUUUCAAUCCUAAAUAAUAUUCAAUUACAAAUUAAACAUAUUAUAUUUUGUUUUAUAUAUUAGUUUGCAUGUCAUUUUAUUUUAAUGAUGUUAAGAAAAUGGAUCUAAAUAUGUGUCAGAAAUCAAAUUUGAUUACCAACUUGGAUAAAAAGAAAAAGAACUUAAGUAUCAAAUUGAAAAUUAAAACAAAAUUCAAGUACUAAAAAAUAAAAUUUUCCUUUCACAUUUUUUCUAUUAACAUUUAAGGGGAGCUAACAGAAAGCUCUUUGUAAAGAGCACCUCCCUAAAACCCUCGAAAAAUCGGCUGGAGUUUUAGGGAGCGCUCCCAUGUAGAGCUUAGUUCCCAUCAAUUGAAUCUAUUAAAUUUUCAAAAUUUCAAUUUAACCAGUUAGACUAAAUAAUUUAAUAUUUUAUUAAAUUUAAAAUAUAAAUUAAUAAUAAUUAAAAUUAAAAUAAACAUUAAAUAAAAAUAUAUAUUGAAAAGAAUCGAAGAUAAUAUAAAACAUAAAAUAAAAUAUUCACUUUUUAAAAAUAUCCUGAAAAAAUAAAUAUCUUUUAAACAAUAAUAACUUUUUUUUGGUUUUUUUUUUCUAGUUUAAUCCAUUCUUUAUUUUUUAUUUAAUUAUAAGGUAAGUUAAUUCAAUUAAUUUCUUAUUAGCGGAGUUUACUUUAUUCAUAGAAAACUCUAGACCUUCAAGUUGAUUGCUGGUCACAGUUUUUCUAACGUUUUUCUCGUAAGUUUAUUUUGUUUUUAAUUUCAGUCCACAUCAUUGUGGUUUUGUCCACAUUUUUUAGUUUUAUUUUGUCCAUAUUUUUCGUGGUUUUUGUUUUGUCUACUUUGUUUUGUUCGAAAGCAAAGGCGGUUUUAUUUGUACUUUUAAUUUUGAGGCAUAUUCUGGCAUAUAUGUGAGAUUUGUCAAUAUAAUGGUGCCUCCAGAUCUAUUAGGAAUUGUUCUCAAUGGGCUUUAUCAUGAUAGAUCAUAACAAUGGUGAUAGAUUUAAGAUGAUCAAAAUGAUAAAUCCCUCGAGACUUGACCUUUUGUGCAUCACUUAUGCAAUAAGUCUCUUUGAGCUUUUGGAAGUUUUUUCUUGGUUGAUUGGUGUUGAUGUCAGGUUGAUUUGAUGAUGACAAGGCUAGGAUGUAAAUUUCAAUGAUCUGAUCAAGUUGCAUCUUUGGUUUGUUUCUAAAUUAUUCCAGUGUUGCAAUUAUUGUCAAUUUGUUCUUUUGUUUUUAGAUUACUUUGUAGGCAUGACAUUUGUACAUUAGUUGGUAGUGAUUUAUUUAUUAUUUGUAUUAUGUGCCUUGUCUUUGUAUUUUUUUCAUGGUUCCUAUUAAUAAUAGUUAUUUAUUCAAAAAAUAAAUAAAAUGAUUUGUUAAGGCUGUUUUAAAGCCAUAAUAUAAUUUUUAGUCCCUAAACUUGAUAACUAAGUCCAUUUUGGACCCUAAACUUGAAAAUAUAAAAAGUUUGUUGAGACACUAUAAAAUUAUACCACGUCAUCACUUGAAAGUGAUGGCGUGGUACAACUUUAUAAUGUUGCAUCCAAUUUAACUUGAUAGUCAAUUUUGUGAUGAUUAUGGAAAAUGAUGAUUUUGAAUGUUAAGCAUGGCAUGUGGUUUAGUAAUGCUUGAUUUAGCAAUGUUUGGUGUCUUUAGAAACAAGGAAUAUGAAUCUAUUUGAUCUUGGUAUAUUAAAGAUGGUAAAUAAGUAAAAUAGCUAAGUUGGUGCAUAACUAGAAUUGGCAUGUUUGAUGGUCUUGCUUGACUUAUACAUUUUGUGUAUGAUUGUUUUGGUCCAUUUCAAGUUCAUGUAGGUUUUUGACAAUUGAAUUGCAUAUAUAUGUAUACAUUGAGCUUGAUUGAACAUGGUUGACAUAGUUAUGUGGAUAUUUGGGAUUAAAUAGGCUUAAGUGAUGAAUGGUUGAAUUUAUAAGGUACUAAAUAAUUUGGUGGAAUGUCUUCAAGCUUGAAUUGUGUUAGUUUGGCAUGGUAAAAUAGUUUUUAUUUGGUGAAUGAUUGUAUGGUAGUGUUUAAGGUUGGUUUGAAGGUAAUUGAAUUAAUAUCAAAUGUGCAUUUUGUCAAAACAAGGGCAAUGUUGUGACUAGGAGAUUUCGACAUCGCAACCUUGUCUGAGAGUGAGUGGAGUCGCGACGUGGAGAUGUUUAACAUCACGAUGUAACUCAUUGACUUGCGACGUGAACAACAUGAUGUCGUCACGUUAGUUCGAGAUUUUCCAAACUUCACAAUUUAGUCAUAUUUCAUGUUCGGGUUAGUAAAAGAGUUUUUGUAAGAUUAAGUAGGGCCCAAAAAUGAUUGUGUAUUACUUUAUAUACAUGAAUGCCAUUUAAUUAUGUAUUUAAAUGUUAAUAUGUUACAUGAUGUUUUAAAUUUUAUUAAAUCGAUGAUCAUAACAUCUCAUAACUCAGACCCGGCAAUCAGAUCGGAUUUCUAGAUUUUGGACUUUAAUAUUCUCCUAUUGGAUUGUGAUUACAAGUAGACUUGUCCAUGGGCUGGGCCGGGCCCGGAAAAAAUUUCGGCCCGACUCUUAGGCCAGGGCCCGGCCCGAAAUAUGGGCCUAAAAUUUUGCCCAGGCCCGACCCGGGAAAAAAAUAAUAAGCUCGAGCCCGGCCCAAUUUUUAAUAAACACAAAAAAAAUAUUUUAAAAAAAUAUUUUUAAAGUAUUUUAAAAAUAAAAAAAAUAUAUUUAUUAUAUUCAGGCCGGGCUGGGCAGGGUUUGGGCCAAAAAAGUUUAGCCCGAGCCCGGCCCAUUUUUAAAACGGGCCUCAUUUUUUUGCCCAAGCCCAUAUUUCGGGCCUCUAUUUUUACCUGAACCCUCCCAUAUUUCGGGUGGACCGUCGGGCCGGGCCGGGCCGCCCGACCCAUGGACAAGUCUAAUUACAAGGGACACUAUUAUACUUAAAUCUUUUUAUUUAUCCGAUAACUAUAUCCAAGCACUGUCAAUGGAUGGGUAAGUCUGCAGAAUGACAUAGCUUUUAGCUUGGACUGAUGCUAGCCUAAUCAUGAUCAUUCUACCUUGUGGAGGUUGUUGUUGUUGUUGCUGGUUAAGAGAGAGCACUAUUUUGAUUUUAUACAUAGUUUCUUUCCUCCGUAGGCCUUGGAUUGACUUCAAUCUUAUAGGUUUUUUUUUUUGUUCGUGUUGCUCGUUUAUAAUAAAAUAAAUUAUUAGUGUUACAAAAAAUUAGAGGAAGUAGGUCUUGACUUGAUUAUGGGUUGGGCCACUCGUCUAGACCCAAAGGUCCGCCCGAAAAGUAAAAGGUUCUGGAUAAAAUAUAACUCCGAAACAUAAGCAUGAACAAAAAAUAAAGCAUGUUUUCUAAACGGGCUGGACCUCGAGUAGUUUGCCUAAAUUUGUCUAAAAUUUUUUCACUGUUGUUUUCUAUUGUUUUACUACUGUUUUGCUAUUAUUUCCUACCAUUUUGAUAUUGUUUUGCUAUUAUAUUGUUAUUAUUUGAGUAUUGUAUAAUUUUUAUUUUAUUAAUAAUUUUGCUACAAUUUUAGAAGCAUUUGCUUGCUAAGUUGCAACUAUUUUUAAUGUUAUUUAAAUAUAAAGAAUUUUUAUAAUGUAUUUAUAAUGUGUUGAGAAAUAUUUAUUUUAAUAUUUUUAAUGUAUUUGAUAUAUUAUAUUUUUUAAAUUUAUUUUUAAAUAAAAAUAAUAUAAAAUUUUAAUAUGGAUAGAUCUUAAUAUUUUUUCUAAGCUAAAUUUAGACAAAAUUUUUUCUUCAUUUUUCAAGCUCAAACAUGUUAAACGAGUCUAGAAAUUUAUUAAGGCGCAACCCGAAACCAAUUUGGCCAAGAUUAAAUCUAAGUAGGCCUUAUGAGUGACACGUGUUGGAGAAUUGUAUGCGAUGCGACUCACGCACAAAAAGAAAGAAGCGGGCAAGGCAAAUAAUCUACCGUCCUUUAUAUAUUCCAACAUCACACAUUUUCUAAUUUUAUUGAACCCUAAAUAUUUCUUAAUUUUCUUUUUCUCUGUCCCCUAAAACGAACGACACAAACAAAACAAAAAAGCCCUAGAUACAUCAUUAAAGGAUGUACGGUCAAGACGGAGACGAAGCUGCUCCGCCUUCAUAUGGAGGUGGUUACGGCGUUUCUGGAGGCUAUGGAGGCGGCGGCGGGGGUUAUGGUGGAGGCGGACGAGGUGGAAGUGGAGGUCAUGGGGGUCGAGGUGGAGGCGGCAGAGGAGGUGGUGGAGGAUAUGGCGGUGGUUAUCAAAAUCGAGGUAAUUUUGUUUGUUCUUAAUAUUUUUUGUUAGAUUUGUGGGGUAGCGUUGUUGAGUGUUUGUUUUCUCGCAAAUUUGAUAUUGGUUUUUGGGAGAUUAAUCCGAUUUGAAGGUCUUGUUAUGUUCUUAGUUUAAUUAAUGAGAUCUUGAUGUUGCAGGAGGCGGUGGAGGUUAUCAAGGAGGAGAGCGUGCUGGAAGAGGUGGCGGCGGAAGAGGUGGUGGCCGUGGUGGAAGCGGCCGUGAUGGUGAUUGGCUUUGCCCUAACCCCAGGUAAACGAUCUUCCACUGCUUUUGAUUUCCUUAUGGGGGGAGGUUUUCCUCUCCGUUGUGGAUUUUGCAUUGUUAAUUAGUCAAAUAUUCAGGUUUCGGUUUGUUGCUGAUAUUAUGAUACUGCUGUUAGUUGUUAGAUUUGUGUUUAUUUGAACUGGCAUAUGUUUAUGUAGCUGUGGGAACUUGAACUUUGCAAGAAGAGUUGAAUGUAACAAAUGCGGUGCACCAUCUCCUGCGGGUGCUGGUGGUGAUCGUGGUAGUGGUAGUACUGGUGGUGGUUAUAGCAGAGGUGGUGGUGGGGGAUAUGGCGGUAAUCGUGGAGGUAGAGAUGGGGGUAGAGGUGGUUAUGAUAGUGGUAGGAAUAACAACUAUGAUGGAGGCAGAGGUGGAAACAAUGAUAAUAGAAGCAGUGGUAGUAGAGGUGGUUCUUUUGGAAGUAGUCAAGGGGUAGAAGAUAGUGGGUAUGGUCAAGUUCCUCCUCCAGCACCCAAUUCUUAUGGUGGGAAUUAUCCACCUGCUCCUAAUACAUAUGGUGGGAAUGCAAAUUAUGGAAUGGAUUCAGUCCCUCCACCUACAAGCUAUACUGGUGGACCUACAUCAUACCCUCCAUCUUAUGGUGGCCCUGCGGGUGGCUAUGCUGGUGAGGGUUUGAGUGAUGCACGGACUGGUGGUCGUGGUGGACCUCCUGGUGGAUAUGACGGUGGGUAUGGUUCUGGUGGUCCUCGAAAUCAGGGAGGUGGUUAUGGUGGUCCUCCUGUUGAAGCACCAGCUAAGAUCAAGCAGUGUGACGGCAACUGUGGGGAUUCUUGCGACAACUCAAGAAUAUACAUAACAAAUUUGCCACCUGAUGUUACUAUUGAAGAAUUAAGAGACCUUUUUGGCGGCAUUGGACAAGU
rnacentral:lncRNA from 1 species